CCCUUAGAUGUUCUGAACCGCACGCGUGUUACACUGAUGCAUUCAACGAGCUUUACCUUGGGCGAGAGGCCUGGGAAAUCUUUUUAGCAUGCAUCGUGAUAGGGAUUGAUUAUUGCAAUUAUUAAUCAUGAACGAGGAAUUCCUAGUAAACGCAUUUCAUCAAAAUGCAUUGAUUACGUCCCUGCCCUUUGUACACACCGCCCGUCGCACCUACCGAUUGAGUGGUCCGGUGAAGUCUCGAGAUUGUGGCAAUCUCCUUUAUUGGAGUUUGACUGCGAGAACUUGCCUAAACCUUAUCACUUAGAGGAAGGUGAAGUCGUAACA
rnacentral:rRNA from 1 species